rnacentral:misc_RNA from 1 species
CGAACGCCGCCGCUCCGCACGAGACGCCCGCUGCUCGCCGCGCCGCACGCUCGCGCCACCGGUCCGCCCGGUCUUGUGAUUACACCUUGUGCGACACAUUAUUAUUGUGCAGUGUUAUUUGGACAUUUGACAAGCUCCUGCCUGGACACAGUGUACUGUCCAACUAACUCGGACCUAACUUAAGUGCAGUUUAACUUUACUGUGAGUGUAAGUUUUUGAGAAGUUUCAUUUUGUCCACUUCAGUGAUACGUCUUGUAAAGUGAACUAAACUGUAAUCUGAAGUCGUGUUUCAUGUGCCGCGUUUGUUUACUUGUCAAGUUUCAUACGGAGUAGCAGUUGUUAAUAUUUUACUGAAGUUGAAACUUUUACAACUUACUCUGAAUUCAUUUGUGUGUUUCGUCCGAUUCAAGUUCAACAAACAACUUUUGAUCGCAACCCAAAGAUCACUUAAGCGUAAUCUGGCUCUUCACUUCUUGGACCAGAAUUGGACACACAAAGUGGAGAUUAACCAUGUCAUAAGGUACUAAUUGGAUAUGAGAGGAUGAGCCAUGGAAUCACGAAGCGCGCCGCCGAGCCCCGACGAGGCCGGGGAGGCGGUGUACGACAAUCGUUGUGGACGUUACCCACACCCGCCCACUCUCCAGCGAACCUUCGCCAGUUGCCGCGAGACCACGCGACCGCGUCCGCAUCAUCGACAUGCCACGUCAGAGCCCGCGCGACCAGACGACCACGUGCAGCAGUCGUUCGUCACAGCAGAGGUUCACGACUACCCCUCGUCCGAAUCCGGCAUAGCAGCCGACUGCCCCCAUGCCCAUACUAGUAAUGCUGAUGACAGUCCUUCUUACGACCGCUCAGACUUCGAAGGGAACUCCAGCUACAGUUUGAGGCAUACUCCUGACUAUCACCAUACACUAGAUUGUAAACAUAGGCCUAUUGAUUACAAUCGUAGCCACACACCAGACUAUACUCAUGGUCACGGAUCUGAUUGCGAUCGAGCACACCCACGCUCUCAAACAUCCCGACGACCCCAUAGAAAACAUAGACGUGAAGAAGACGAUGGCGCGCAGUCACUCGACGAACGCUGUGCCAGGGAUUUGGAUGAAAUCCUCCCUGCACGGCUCGCUGCAGUCAAUUUAUCGAGGGAACCACCUCCUCAGACUUGGAAUAGAAGCAACAUAGCAGCAACAAUGGAACGUUUUGAACCAGUUGAUUACUCCUAUGCUUAUUACGAUCACCAUUUAUCAAUGCCAUCAUCAUCGAGGAAAGUAAACCGUCAACGAGGCAGGGGUGGCAUACCACGAGAUCGAUCAUCGCGUCAUAAUUAUGUCACUAGGUAUGGCACAGAAGAAAAUAUUUAUGAAGAAAUUACAGAUGGAUCUAGGACUUGCCCUAAACAUCGAUACGCUCCACGACAGUCACUAGUUUCUUUAGAUAGAAGUGUUGUGGAAGAGGAAGUUCGUCGAGUAGAAUCGAGACACAAACGAAUUCUGGGAGAGUUAAAUCUUAGUGUAGAAGCUAUGCUUAUGCCGGAAUGCGAAUCUCCCGAUUCGGAACGUGCGGAAGACAGAGACAAUAUCGAGGAACUGUUGCGAGUCGGUCCCACAGACGAGUUACUUUCGCCGGCAAGUUGUAAUCCACCAGACUUAGACAGCGGGUUUAGUGGUAGCAGUAGCGGAGCAAGUUAUGUAGGUAGUUUGCGUCGUAAACCGACGGGAUCAGUGCCGCACUUGCCCGCCGUGGCGUACGGCACGCGAGGAGCUGGCGUGCGGAUUCUAGGCGCAGACGAGUGUGGUCUGCGAUGCCCCAAAGACAUACCAUCGCCACGUAGCUCCAGCUGUGGGGAUGCCAAGACAACUGGGUUUUGGAACAAAAAAGCCUGGAAGAAAAUAUCUGGUUUCUCAAGUUCCAACAGUAUCAACAAAGCCGGAUUAACUGGUCUGCUCGUUAGGUACACUUUCCGGCGUAAGUCCGGCUCGCAGGGCUCUCAGGGCAAGCGGCGUGCCGAGCCCGUCAAAUGCGAUGCGUGCCUCUCACAACGAUGUUAGCCGCUCUAUGAUGACGCGUGUAGGCCAAGCAGAGCUAAAUCCAGAACAGCCACUAUACCAUACAGCUACUCCAACGGAAAACUGGUGGUGCCGCUGGAUUCCCUAGCACAGAGCUGAGGGGCCGAGCCCCCGCGGCAUUCCCGCCUCCAACUCCUCCGAGGGGCUGCUCAACACCGCAGGACAACGAUGAACAACAACCUAGCAACCUAACAUGCAGGACUUACUGCCUAUGUAACAAUAUGAAGAAACAUUCCAUUUGAGACUAUCUCUGGGCACCAUUAAGUUGUCGACACCUCAGCGAGUCUCAAAGACAAACUAGGUGUAGCCAGUGUAAAUAAAGUGAACAGACAUUCAAUUACUGUAGGACAAACGAGGAGAGUAUACGUUGAAGUGAUAGAAACGCCUAAAUUAAUUAUUUGUAUUGUUAUAACGAUCGUUUCAUAGAAACGUAAUGACUACGUUGUUGUUACUUAUCAAUUUUUAGUAGUUAAUAGGUACAUGAAAAGGCUGACAAAGUUGAAACCGAUUUUGUACAUGAUAUGAAGCUGCCAUGUUAGCUAAUAUUUCAGUUUUGUCUACCGAUUUGGUGUUUAUCUGCGAUUUUUCUAUAUCAACAAUAUUAGAUAAAUAAAUGUAAUUCGAUAUAAGAACAUUUCUUAUUCUAAAAGCUACAGAUUUUGCCCAAAACUUGGUGCUUUACAUAAAACUACUGUAACAGCUGUCACCACUUCCUUUACCGCCCUUGUAAAUAAAUAAUUUCAUGACCCGAGCUACAAGAAUUGUAAGGUCCAAUCUAUUUAUUUCCAACAUAAAAAUUAUGUAAUAUUAUUUUGUUUCAUAAAAGUUUUUAACAAUAUCUCAUUCGGUAAAAUAUUGUUAAUAAUUGUUAGUAAAUAGUUGUAUAUUUUGUAAAUACAUGCGAAAAACAUGGUGCACUAUUUGUUUUAUAAUUUAUGUAAAUAGAUGUAAAUGUACGUAUACAGUCACAGUCGUAACGCUUUAAUUAAUAUUUUACAUGCAUUUUCUCGUAAACAGUUGAGUGUCAUCGUUAUAAGACUUUUGAAUAAAAUGGCAGUAAUAUGGUAUUUGUUUUCACUUGUGGGAUAUUUAUUGAAUUUUAUGCUAACUGAUUCAUGAAUGUGUAAUGCUGUGUUGAAUGGUAACACAUGCCUUUGUAGUAGUAUUUUGGUAUUAAGUCGCUGAUCCAUUACAUUUGCGUGGCUGGAUGCGAGGCGUCGUUAGUAUUCGAGGCAGCCGCUUACCUCGAGGCAGUCUCGGAGCACCGGCUUUACAUGUACAGAUUUGACAUAUGGGAAUUACUAUGCGUGCUGAUUUACAAACAUAAAUAAAACUGGACGGCUUUCACUCUACGCCACAUGUUGCCCGUAAUUGUUCAUAAUUUUAUAUUGCGGCUCCCGAUUUACAGAUGUUACAUUAUUUUAAAAAAACACAUUACGUACAGCUAUAUAUUUUCAUUCAAACAUAUCCGACAUUAAAAAUAAUAUUUGGUUAAAAAGAAUAUUCAUUUUCAUAAAGCCUAGAGGCGUAGAGUGAAAUGCUUUAAUCGUUUUUAAGAGUAUAAUUUAUUAUGAAUGUCACAAGAGCAUGUACAUACCUUCGUAGUAAUAAUGUAAAUUUUCAUUUUAUCAGUCAGUGAAGGAGUCUGUCUUGUAACUAAUAUUAUUCUAAGCUCGACUGAUACGACGUAAAAUAAUCUCAAUGUUACAUGAAAUAAAUAUUUCUUUAAUUGUCUGUAAUUUAGUGAUCGUGUUCAAGUCAAAAGAGAUUUUUAUUAAAUAAAUUACAAAAA